GUCACCUCCAGGCCCAGCAGCUAGAUCCUCGCGAUGAUCGUCGCAACCCCGCGCGUCAUUAUCUCGGCCGCCUCCUGGUGCGACCUCCCUUGUGCCAGAACCAACGUGUCGUCAGCGUAGCAGACCACGCUGACGCCGCUAGGGAGGUCGGCGCGCAGCACCUAGUCGUAGCCGAUGUUCCACAAGAGCGGCCAAGAACCGACCCCUGCGGAACACCGCACGACAUCUCCCGCCGGGCGAAAUCUUAUCUUAAAGAUCGAUGAAUGACAUUUGGUUAGCUUCGAUGAUUCUAAAACUUCCGUAGUUUUAUAAAAUAAAGAAAGAAAAAACGUUUAUUUCUAAUAAAUUCUAUUUUUAUACAAAAAAAAACGAUUCUGACGUUGCUGACAAUAAAUGACAAUAAGUGACCGGUCAAAUUGGAUAAAUGUCCAAUAUGCUCGGUCAGAUUAAUCGGUCACAUAUAACGUGACGGUCACUUUACAUCUCUAU
rnacentral:lncRNA from 1 species